rnacentral:rRNA from 1 species
ACGGAAGGCAGCAGUGGGGGACAUUGGGCAAUGGGCGAAAGCCUGACCCAGCAACGCCGCGUGAAGGAAGAAGGUCUUCGGAUUGUAAACUUCUUUUAUGAGGGAAGAAGGACGUGACGGUACCUCAUGAAUAAGCCACGGCUAACUACGUGCCAGCAGCCGCGGUAAUACGUCGGUGGCAAGCGUUAUCCGGAUUUACUGGGUGUAAAGGGCGCGUAGGCGGGGAUGCAAGUCAGAUGUGAAAUCCAUGGGCUUAACUCAUGAACUGCAUUUGAAGCUGUAGCUCUUGAGUGCUGGAGAGGUAGGUGGAAUUCCUUGUGUAGCGGUGAAAUGCGUAGAUAUAAGGAAGAACACCAGUGGCGAAGGCGAUCUACUGGACAGUAACUGACGCUGAGGCGCGAAAGCGUGGGGAGCAAACAGGAUUAGAUACCCUGGUA